rnacentral:misc_RNA from 1 species
GAUGAAGAACGCAGCGAAAUGCGAUAAGUAAUGUGAAUUGCAGAAUUCCGUGAAUCAUCGAAUCUUUGAACGCACAUUGCGCCCUUUGGUAUUCCAAAGGGCAUGCCUGUUCGAGCGUCAUUUGUACCCUCAAGCUUUGCUUGGUGUUGGGCGUCUUGUCUCCAGUCCGCUGGAGACUCGCCUUAAAGUCAUUGGCAGCCGGCCUACUGGUUUCGGAGCGCAGCACAAGUCGCACUCUUUUCCAGCCAAGGUCAGUGUCCAACAAGCCUUUUUUCAACUUUUGACCUCGGAUCAGGUAGGGAUACCCGCUGAACUUAAGCAUAUCAAUAAGCGGAGGA